rnacentral:lncRNA from 1 species
UUUCUUUUAUUUAAAUUAGAAACGAGUUUCUUUUACAUGUCAAUAUCAGUUCCCUCGCCAGGUGUUGGUGGCUCACGCCUUUAAUCCCAGCACUUGGGAGGCAGAGGCAGGCAGAUCUCU